CUACGGGCCGCUCCAGUGGGGAAUAUUGCACAAUGGGCGCAAGCCUGAUGCAGCCAUGCCGCGUGUAUGAAAAAGGCCUUCGGGUUGUAAAGUACUUUCAGCGGGGAGGAAGGGAGUAAAGUUAAUACCUUUGCUCAUUGACGUUACCCGCAGAAGAAGCACCGGCUAACUCCGUGCCAGCAGCCGCGGUAAUACGGAGGGUGCAAGCGUUAAUCGGAAUUACUGGGCGUAAAGCGCACGCAGGCGGUUUGUUAAGUCAGAUGUGAAAUCCCCGGGCUCAACCUGGGAACUGCAUCUGAUACUGGCAAGCUCGAGUCUCGUAGAGGGGGGUAGAAUUCCAGGUGUAGCCGUGAAAUGCGUAGAGAUCUGGAGGAAUACCGGUGGCGAAGGCGGCCCCCUGGACGAAGACUGACGCUCAGGUGCGAAAGCGUGGGGAGCAAACAGGAUUAGAUACCCCUGUAGUC
rnacentral:rRNA from 1 species